rnacentral:rRNA from 1 species
UACGAAGGGGGCUAGCGUUGCUCGGAAUCACUGGGCGUAAAGCGCACGUAGGCGGAUUGCUAAGUCAGGGGUGAAAUCCUGGAGCUCAACUCCAGAACUGCCUUUGAUACUGGCGAUCUUGAGUCCGGGAGAGGUGAGUGGAACUCCGAGUGUAGAGGUGAAAUUCGUAGAUAUUCGCAAGAACACCAGUGGCGAAGGCGGCUCACUGGCCCGGUACUGACGCUGAGGUGCGAAAGCGUGGGGAGCAAACAGG